GGUCGGGUAGCUCAGUCGGUAGAGCAAAGGACUGAAAAUCCUUGUGUCGAGUGUUCGAAUCACUCUCCGACCA
rnacentral:tRNA from 2 species